rnacentral:rRNA from 1 species
UGCCAGCCGCCGCGGUAAUACGAACCGUCCAAACGUUAUUCGGAAUUAUUGGGCUUAAAGGGUGCGUAGGCGGCGUGUUAAGUCGGGUGUGAAAUCCCACAGCUCAACUGUGGAACUGCGCCCGAUACUGGCAUGCUUGAGGGAGACAGAGGUAAGCGGAACUGAUGGUGGAGCGGUGAAAUGCGUUGAUAUCAUCAGGAACACCAGUGGCGAAAGCGGCUUACUGGGUCUCUUCUGACGCUGAGGCACGAAAGCUAGGGUAGCGAACGGGAUUAGAUA